UGAGGAAUANNNNGNAAUGGACGGAAGUCUGAACCAGCCAAGUAGCGUGCAGGAUGACGGCCCUAUGGGUUGUAAACUGCUUUUGUAUGGGGAUAAAGUUAGGGACGUGUCCCUAUUUGCAGGUACCAUACGAAUAAGGACCGGCUAAUUCCGUGCCAGCAGCCGCGGUAAUACGGAAGGUCCAGGCGUUAUCCGGAUUUAUUGGGUUUAAAGGGAGCGUAGGCUGGAGAUUAAGUGUGUUGUGAAAUGUAGACGCUCAACGUCUGAAUUGCAGCGCAUACUGGUUUCCUUGAGUACGCACAACGUUGGCGGAAUUCGUCGUGUAGCGGUGAAAUGCUUAGAUAUGACGAAGAACUCCGAUUGCGAAGGCAGCUGACGGGAGCGCAACUGACGCUUAAGCUCGAAGGUGCGGGUAUCAAACAGGAUUAGAUACCCUGGUAGUCCGCACAGUAAACGAUGGAUGCCCGCUGUUGGUACCUGGUAUCAGCGGCUAAGCGAAAGCAUUAAGCAUCCCCACCUGGGGAGUACGCCGGCAACGGUG
rnacentral:rRNA from 1 species